rnacentral:rRNA from 1 species
AAGUGACGCGGUAGAGGAGCGUUCUGUAAGCCUGUGAAGGUGAGUUGAGAAGCUUGCUGGAGGUAUCAGAAGUGCGAAUGCUGACAUGAGUAACGACAAUGGGUGUGAAAAACCCCCACGCCGAAAGACCAAGGGUUCCUGCGCAACGUUAAUCGACGCAGGGUUAGUCGGUUCCUAAGGCGAGGCUGAAAAGCGUAGUCGAUGGGAAACAGGUUAAUAUUCCUGUACUUCUGGUUACUGCGAUGGAGGGACGGAGAAGGCUAGGCCAGCUUGGCGUUGGUUGUCCAAGUUUAAGGUGGUAGGCUGAAAUCUUAGGUAAAUCCGGGGUUUCAAGGCCGAGAGCUGAUGACGAGUCGUCUUUUAGAUGACGAAGUGGUUGAUGCCAUGCUUCCAAGAAAAGCUUCUAAGCUUCAGGUAACCAGGAACCGUACCCCAAACCGACACAGGUGGUCGGGUAGAGAAUACCAAGGCGCUUGAGAGAACUCGGGUGAAGGAACUAGGCAAAAUGGCACCGUAACUUCGGGAGAAGGUGCGCCGGCUAGGGUGAAGGAUUUACUCCGUAAGCUCUGGCUGGUCGAAGAUACCAGGCCGCUGCGACUGUUUAUUAAAAACACAGCACUCUGCAAACACGAAAGUGGACGUAUAGGGUGUGACGCCUGCCCGGUGCCGGAAGGUUAAUUGAUGGGGUUAGCGCAAGCGAAGCUCUUGAUCGAAGCCCCGGUAAACGGCGGCCGUAACUAUAACGGUCCUAAGGUAGCGAAAUUCCUUGUCGGGUAAGUUCCGACCUGCACGAAUGGCGUAACGAUGGCGGCGCUGUCUCCACCCGAGACUCAGUGAAAUUGAAAUCGCUGUGAAGAUGCAGUGUAUCCGCGGCUAGACGGAAAGACCCCGUGAACCUUUACUGUAGCUUUGCACUGGACUUUGAGCCUGCUUGUGUAGGAUAGGUGGGAGGCUUUGAAGCGUGGACGCCAGUUCGCGUGGAGCCAUCCUUGAAAUACCACCCUGGCAUGCUUGAGGUUCUAACUCUGGUCCGUAAUCCGGAUCGAGGACAGUGUAUGGUGGGCAGUUUGACUGGGGCGGUCUCCUCCUAAAGAGUAACGGAGGAGUACGAAGGUGCGCUCAGACCGGUCGGAAAUCGGUCGCAGAGUAUAAAGGCAAAAGCGCGCUUGACUGCGAGACAGACACGUCGAGCAGGUACGAAAGUAGGUCUUAGUGAUCCGGUGGUUCUGUAUGGAAGGGCCAUCGCUCAACGGAUAAAAGGUACUCCGGGGAUAACAGGCUGAUACCGCCCAAGAGUUCAUAUCGACGGCGGUGUUUGGCACCUCGAUGUCGGCUCAUCACAUCCUGGGGCUGAAGCCGGUCCCAAGGGUAUGGCUGUUCGCCAUUUAAAGUGGUACGCGAGCUGGGUUUAGAACGUCGUGAGACAGUUCGGUCCCUAUCUGCCGUGGACGUUUGAGAUUUGAGAGGGGCUGCUCCUAGUACGAGAGGACCGGAGUGGACGAACCUCUGGUGUUCCGGUUGUCACGCCAGUGGCAUUGCCGGGUAGCUAUGUUCGGAAAAGAUAACCGCUGAAAGCAUCUAAGCGGGAAACUUGCCUCAAGAUGAGAUCUCACUGGGAACUUGAUUCCCCUGAAGGGCCGUCGAAGACUACGACGUUGAUAGGCUGGGUGUGUAAGCGUUGUGAGGCGUUGAGCUAACCAGUACUAAUUGCCCGUGAGGCUUGACCAU